UACGUAGGGUGCAAGCGUUAAUCGGAAUUACUGGGCGUAAAGCGUGCGCAGGCGGUUUCGUAAGCCAGAUGUGAAAUCCCCGGGCUUAACCUGGGAACUGCAUUUGGGACUGCGAGGCUAGAGUACGGCAGAGGGAGGUGGAAUUCCACGUGUAGCAGUGAAAUGCGUAGAUAUGUGGAGGAACACCGAUGGCGAAGGCAGCCUCCUGGGCUAGUACUGACGCUCAUGCACGAAAGCGUGGGGAGCAAACAGG
rnacentral:rRNA from 1 species